rnacentral:rRNA from 1 species
GACAGAGGGGGCAAGCGUUGCUCGGAAUCACUGGGCGUAAAGAGCUUGUAGGCGGUUUGUCGCGUCUGCCGUGAAAAUUCGAGGCUCAACCUCGAACUUGCGGUGGGUACGGGCAGACUAGAGUGUGGUAGGGGAGACUGGAAUUCCUGGUGUAGCGGUGAAAUGCGCAGAUAUCAGGAGGAACACCGGUGGCGAAGGCGGAUCUCUGGGCCGUAACUGACGCUGAGGAGCGAAAGCAUGGGGAGCGAACAGG